rnacentral:rRNA from 1 species
AACGAACGCUGGCGGCAUGCCUAACACAUGCAAGUCGAACGAGACCUUCGGGUCUAGUGGCGCACGGGUGCGUAACGCGUGGGAACCUGCCCUUAGGUUCGGAAUAACUCCCCGAAAGGGGUGCUAAUACCGGAUAAUGUCUUCGGACCAAAGAUUUAUCGCCCUUGGAUGGGCCCGCGUUGGAUUAGCUAGUUGGUAGGGUAAAAGCCUACCAAGGCGACGAUCCAUAGCUGGUCUGAGAGGAUGAUCAGCCACACUGGGACUGAGACACGGCCCAGACUCCUACGGGAGGCAGCAGUGGGGAAUAUUGGACAAUGGGCGAAAGCCUGAUCCAGCAAUGCCGCGUGAGUGAUGAAGGCCUUAGGGUUGUAAAGCUCUUUUACCCGGGAUGAUAAUGACAGUACCGGGAGAAUAAGCUCCGGCUAACUCCGUA